UACGUAGGCAGCGAGCGUUGUUCGGAGUUACUGGGCGUAAAGAGUGCGUAGGCGGUUUUCUAAGUUUGGUGUGAAAUCUCCCGGCUCAACUGGGAGGGUGCGCCGAAGACUGGAAGGCUUGAGUAUGGGAGAGGUAAGCGGAAUUCCUGGUGUAGCGGUGAAAUGCGUAGAUAUCAGGAGGAACACCUGCGGUGUAGACGGCUUACUGGACCAUAACUGACGCUAAGGCACGAAAGCGUGGGUAGCAAACAGG
rnacentral:rRNA from 1 species